AUGUCUAGCCUACCCACAGCUGACAGCACGCAAGGAAUCACGGCCAUCCAUCACUGUCGCGCAGUUAUCGUCCGUCUCCCCACCAACGUCAUUAUUCAUCCGUCCCGUCCCGUCCCGUGUGGCCUGUCCUUGUGUGGUGCCGGGUGCGUUGCCUUCUUCAUCCUCGCACACGGCAGGCACGUGACCGACACCCCCAGCGCACGAACUCCAAAAUAGCGAGCCGAAGGGGGCCACGACCACGAGUCCUCCACCUCCCUCUCCGCCGCGUCGCACGCGCUUGACGCGCGCCGAGAGCCGAAUCGGAGCCACGAGGCAGCCGCCCCGGGCGGAUCGAUCCUAGGGCCAGGGCAUGGGCGGAGGGGACGCCGACGCCGGCGGCGAGCCCGCGGACGCGCAGGCCACGCUCCACAUCCGGUGCACCAACGGCUCCAAGUUCACCGUGCGGACCGACCUGGGCGCCACCGUCGGGGCGUUUAAGGCGAUCGUCGCCCACAGCUGCGACGUGCCGGCGCCGCAGCAGCGGCUGAUCUACAAGGGCCGGAUCUUGAAGGACGAGCAAACCCUAGCCAGCUACGGUGUGGAGACAGACCAUACAAUCCACAUGGUACGUGGUGCUGUGCUAUCACCAACAUCUACUGCACCUGCAGCCAACCAAGAACCUACCACUGCUGCUCCUGCCAGUUCCCCGGCAACAGGAUUGGGUGGCUUGUUGCAAAGUCUGGGUACUACAGGCGCUGCUGCUAACAGUGAGGGGUUGUUUGGAUCUGCCCCCCCUGGAUUAGACCAAAUGCAGCAACAGCUAGCUGAAAAUCCGAACUUGAUGAGGGAAAUGAUGAAUAUGCCACUCAUGCAGAAUUUGAUGAACAAUCCUGAACUCAUACGCAGUAUAAUAAUGAACAAUCCUCAAAUGCGCGAGCUCAUUGACCGCAAUCCGGAUCUUGCUCAUGUCCUCAAUGAUCCAAGCAUUAUGCGCCAGACUUUUGAAGCAGUUCGGAAUCCUGAACUCAUGAGGGAGAUGAUGCGGAACACAGACAGAGCCAUGAGCAACAUCGAGUCUUCUCCAGAAGGAUUCAACAUGCUCCGUCGCAUGUAUGAAACUGUCCAAGAGCCUUUUCUGAAUGCAACAACAAUGGGUAGCGAGGGUGAUCGAAAUUCGAAUCCAUUCUCUGCUCUUCUAGGAAAUCAGGGGUCUAACCAAGCAAGAGACUCAGCUGCAAAUGGAACAACUAGAGCUUCAGACCCCACAUCAGGGUCUCCAGCUCCAAAUACUAAUCCACUUCCGAAUCCUUGGGGCUCAAAUGCUGGCUCUGCCCAAGGAGCAGCAAGGUCCUCUCCUGCUAGCAAUGUUAGGAGUACUACAGCAAGUGGCCUAGGAGGGUUGGGUUCAGCAGAUUUGGGAAGUACGCAUGGUGCCAGUGGUGGUGGCUCUGAUGCUACCUUGUUGACUCAAGUUUUGCAAAACCCAACUAUGAUGCAGAUGAUGCAGAACAUUAUGUCUAAUCCUCAGUCCAUGAAUCAGCUGCUUAAUAUGAAUCCAAAUGUACGUAACAUGAUGGAAUCCAAUACUCAAAUGAGAGAAAUGAUUGAGAAUCCAGAAUUUCUUCGCCAGUUAACAUCUCCUGAAACAUUGCAGCAAUUAAUUUCGUUCCAGCAGUCUUUGAUGUCACAACUUGGCCAACAACAAGCUGGACAGGAGCGGACACAAUCAGGCUCUGGUGCAGGCAAUGUCAACCUCAACACCUUGAUGAACAUGUUCAGCGGGCUUGGUGCUGGUGGUGGCCUAGGUGUUCCAAAUGCUCCUAAUGCACCGCCAGAAGAACUGUACGCCACACAAUUAGCUCAGCUCCAAGAAAUGGGUUUCUUUGACACACAAGAGAACAUCCGAGCCUUGGCCGCUACCGCUGGAAAUGUUCAUGCUGCAGUGGAGCGACUUCUUGGAAAUAUGGGCUAAUAGAAUAUGAUGAUCAUAACUGUACUCAGAUAUUGUGAUUUUUAGUUGGCAUUGUGAGAUCAUGUCUGGCUCAUUGGUUUUACACCCGAGGUGUACAUGGACAAUGUCGUAUUCUGUACAAGAGGGAGAGGGAAUAUGUAGUGCAGACCAUGAGAACUAAAAAAACUGUAUUUCGAUUGCUCAAGAAAAUAUAUGAGAUGCAUCCAUAACUCAGAGAUGUAUUUUGUUGCAAUAGUUGGGAUUCCUUCAUUUUUUAAAAAAAAUCAUUGAUUUUUUUA